rnacentral:rRNA from 1 species
AGAGUUUGAUUCUGGCUCAGGAUGAACGCUGGCGGCGUGCUUAACACAUGCAAGUCGAACGAAGCAUUCCAACUCUCGGAGGAAGAAAUGACUGAGUGGCGGACGGGUGAGUAACGCGUGGGUAACCUGCCUUAUACAGGGGGAUAACAGUUAGAAAUGACUGCUAAUACCGCAUAACCCGCUAGUACCGCAUGGUACAGACGGAAAAGAUUUAUCGGUAUAAGAUGGACCCGCGUCUGAUUAGCUAGUUGGUGAGGUAAUGGCUCACCAAGGCGACGAUCAGUAGCCGGCUUGAGAGAGUGAACGGCCACAUUGGGACUGAGACACGGCCCAAACUCCUACGGGAGGCAGCAGUGGGGAAUAUUGCACAAUGGGGGAAACCCUGAUGCAGCAACGCCGCGUGAAGGAAGAAGUAUUUCGGUAUGUAAACUUCUAUCAGCAGGAAAGAAAAUGACGGUACCUGACUAAGAAGCCCCGGCUAACUACGUGCCAGCCGCAGC